GCUCCCAGCGUGAGCGACGCAGAAGACGGGUGAUUUCUGCAUUUCCAUCUGAGAAGCUGAAACUGAGGUUCAAUGAGGUAAAUUGAUUCAUCCAAGCUCACAGGCUUGUAAGCAGCAAAGGUAGAAUUUAAAUCCAAGUCACUUUGACUCCAAAGCCAAUGGAAUGUUUCUUCCACUACUCUUUAUCACCUGUGCAGGACAUGCUCCACUGUUGGACCUGAGGCAAAUUUUUGUGGAAUAUCAAUAAUUUUGGAUGAUAACAGAGAAAAAUGACACCGAACCACGUGCACUUGCCAGAGAUGGACUCCAACUGGAGGCCAGAAAGCAGAAGAGCCUGGAAAUGCCAUCUAUGAAGGUCGGCCUCUGAGCAGCCCAGAGAAAAGCAGAAAUGAGACUGGGGCAGCCAAGAGUGAAUAACCAGCACGGUAGCUGACGCAGUGCGGUACACAAAGGGCGCGCUUCCAGUAAGACCUCAAGGCCCAUGUGCUGCUUUGAAUUCAACUGAACCGAAUGGAGAAACUGGUUGCAAGUAAAGGGUGUUAUGUGGUAAAGGCAACUGGACCCUGGACCGCUAGGGUUUCACUUCCAGCUUAUCUAGACAAGUGAAUCAUCAGAUUUCACAGCCCUCUUGGGGCUUGAAUCACACAUGUGCGGGAGGAGCUGCAUUGCUGGUGCAUGUGAAGUGUUUCAAGCUGUAAUUAUAUCCUUCACCUCCUCAGAGUGUCUAGACUAGAUUACGAAGGCUGGGGAAAAAAAAAAAUGACUGCAGCUUUCUGUGGUCCUCAAACAAGUGGGAAUUCCUGGCUGGGGCCCUUUUCCCAGAGUACACAGGAGCAAAUCCCCAGAAGCAGCAGCAGCAGCAGCAGCAGCAGCAGUAGCCUUGGCUUGAAGGAUGAAGAUUAAAAGGGAAAAGAGGUACCACUGCCUUUAAAAGUCUCCAUAGGAAAGAGACUCCAGUCAAGCACUAGCGGUAGAAAUAUGAAGCAACCCUGCUGUUCCUCUGCAGGAAAAGUUUUUAAAUAACUUCUUAUUAGUAAUAUUAAUAUUAAUGAUAAUACUGAAUCUUCAUAGCACAUUUAUUAUAUACUGAACACUAUGGUAGCAUUUUACGUACUUUGCUUCAUUUAAUUUCCACAAUCGCCCUGAGAAGUAACAUUAACCCUAUUUUUAAAAACAGAAAAAUGAUGCUUAGAAAGGCAAACAGAAUAUGGUCUUAGCUGCAGUUGAUUGAACAUUUAUUAUGUGCUUGCCAUAGGGCUGGGUAUCCCAGCAGUUCUCAAAGUGCAGUUCGUGGACCUCUCUGAGUUCCCAGCACCCUUACAGGAGAUCUACAAGGUCAAAACAAUAUUCAUAAAAACAAUAAAACAGCGUUUGCCUUUUCCACUGUA